AUUGAACGCUGGCGGCAGGCCUAACACAUGCAAGUCGAACGGUAACAGGAAACAGCUUGCUGUUUCGCUGACGAGUGGCGGACGGGUGAGUAAUGUCUGGGAAACUGCCGGAUGGAGGGGGAUAACUACUGGAAACGGUAGCUAAUACCGCAUAACGUCGCAAGACCAAAGAGGGGGACCUUCUGGCCUCUUGCCAUCGGAUGUGCCCAGAUGGGAUUAGCUAGUAGGUGGGGUAACGGCUCACCUAGGCGACGAUCCCUAGCUGGUCUGAGAGGAUGACCAGCCACACUGGAACUGAGACACGGUCCAGACUCCUACGGGAGGCAGCAGUGGGGAAUAUUGCACAAUGGGCGCAAGCCUGAUGCAGCCAUGCCGCGUGUAUGAAGAAGGCCUUCGGGUUGUAAAGUACUUUCAGCGGGGAGGAAGGGAGUAAAGUUAAUACCUUUGCUCAUUGACGUUACCCGCAGAAGAAGCACCGGCUAACUCCGUG
rnacentral:rRNA from 1 species